rnacentral:rRNA from 1 species
UACGUAGGGUGCGAGCGUUAAUCGGAAUUACUGGGCGUAAAGCGUGCGCAGGCGGUGAUGUAAGACAGGUGUGAAAUCCCCGGGCUUAACCUGGGAACUGCAUUUGUGACUGCAUAGCUAGAGUACGGUAGAGGGGGAUGGAAUUCCGCGUGUAGCAGUGAAAUGCGUAGAUAUUCGCAAGAACACCAGUGGCGAAAGGCGGCUCACUGGCCCGGAACUGACGCUGAGGCACGAAAAGCGUGGGGGAGCAAAACAGGG